GUGGGGUAACGGCCUACCAAGGCGAUGACGGGUAGCGGGUCUGAGAGGAUGAUCCGUCACACUGGGACUGAGACACUGCCCAGACUCCUACGGGAGGCUGCAGUCGAGAAUCUUCCACAAUGGACGAAAGUCUGAUGGAGCGACACCGCGUGCAGGAUGAAGGCCCUAGGGUUGUAAACUGCUGUCACGCUAUAGGAACCCACGGUGGUGAAUAGUCAUCGUGCUGACUAAAGCGAGAGGAAGCGCCGGCUAACUCCGUGCCAGCGGCCGCGGUAAUACGGAGGGCGCAGGCGUUGUUCGGAUUCACUGGGCAUAAAGAGCACGUAGGCGGCCUGCUCAGUCGGGUGUGAAAGCCCACGGCCCAACCGUGGAAUUGCACCCGAUACUGGUAGGCUCGAGGACGGAAGGGGUGAGUGGAACUCCAGGUGGAACGGUGAAAUGUAUAGAUAUCUGGAGGAACACCGGUGGCGAAAGCGGCUCACUGGUCCGUCUCUGACGCUGAGGUGCGAAAGCUAGGGUAGCGAACGGGAUUAGAUACCCCGGUAGUCCUAGCCGUAAACGAUGGGCACUAGGCAAUGGGCUAACCUAUGUGGUUCAUUGCCGUAGCUAAUGUGUUAAGUG
rnacentral:rRNA from 1 species